rnacentral:rRNA from 1 species
GGCCCUGCUUUUGUGGGGUGCUCGAGUGGCGAACGGGUGAGUAACACGUGAGUAACCUGCCCUUGACUUUGGGAUAACUUCAGGAAACUGGGGCUAAUACCGGAUAGGAGCUCCUGCUGCAUGGUGGGGGUUGGAAAGUUUCGGCGGUUGGGGAUGGACUCGCGGCUUAUCAGCUUGUUGGUGGGGUAGUGGCUUACCAAGGCUUUGACGGGUAGCCGGCCUGAGAGGGUGACCGGCCACAUUGGGACUGAGAUACGGCCCAGACUCCUACGGGAGGCAGCAGUGGGGAAUAUUGCACAA